CGUCCUCGUCAUCCUCGUCAAAGGAAUCGAGUUGGUUCCGCUCCAAUCGACGCCAAGGUCGCCAAUUCUCCGCUACGGCCGUCGCGCUCCGGCGAAGAUUCCGGCGAGCAUGGACCUCCUCCGCCCCUUCUGAGUACACCACCAAGUUUCUGAUGCUCCCCGCCGGCGCCUCUCCGUCGAUCCCCUGUGCCCGGCGCCGCCCCUCCAUGGUUCUCCGCGUCGACGCGGACCCCCUGCACCAAGCCCCGCUUCCCGGAAUGCCUCCAAUCUCCCGCGCGCAUCAUGUCCGGCCGCGGUGACCAUCGCGCCUGGAACGCGCACGGCGUCGAACGCCUUGCGUGCAAGUAACAGAUGGUUGCCACAUCGGCCGCCACGCUGUCGCCUCGUCAGCCCCGGGCCCCACGCGUCAGCCGCAGCGGCUAGCUGUCGCAUGGCAUUUGCUUCUUCCCGGAUAGGAUCACGAAGUGGUGUUGUAAGAUACGACGAGUUCUCCGACAAGUUCUUCUCGCAGCUUUUCACAGGCGAGCCCACCCCUUCACCUAUUUUACUUUUACAUGCUCUUUUGAUCUAUUGCUAUCCUUAUGUUGCGAUUCUGUUGUGUCACGUGUCCUAUCCACCUGUUACCUAUAUGUCCGAGAUACACCUCCUCGCCCUACCUAUUGUUUGUUGUUUGCCAGCCUUGCGAGUCGUAGGCGUGUUUAGGCUCUGUUGUUUAUCUCGAUCUGUUAUCGGGAUAUGUUGGGUUGUUGGGAGGUUUUUACAUGCUAUAUCAUUUGUUGGAGAUAAUCACACUUUACUUUAUUGUUAACAACUAAAAUUGUAAGCAGAGGCAUCUGUGAGCCCCUUUGCGAAAGCAUCGGAACUUUGACUCGCUAAUGUCCCCUAGGACCCGAGUUCUUGUUAUCUGUUCCGAGAUUGAGCGCUCUACCCGUACGUGGGGGAAUGGGACCCCCAUCACCCACUACCUUUCCUCGAGUCUGUUUAUUGGGAGCCACAAUCUUGGUUUUAUUUGCCCAUAUGCACGAUAUGCACGAUU